rnacentral:rRNA from 1 species
UACAGAGGUCUCAAGCGUUGUUCGGAUUCAUUGGGCGUAAAGGGUGUGUAGGUGGCGCGCUAAGUCGGGUGUGAAAUUUCGGAGCUUAACUCCGAAACUGCAUUCGAUACUGGCGUGCUUGAGGACUGGAGAGGAGACUGGAAUUUACGGUGUAGCGGUGAAAUGCGUAGAUAUCGUAAGGAAGACCAGUGGCGAAGCGGGUCGUCUG